rnacentral:rRNA from 1 species
GACGAACGCUGGCGGCGUGCUUAACACAUGCAAGUCGAACGGAAAGGCCCUGCUUGCAGGGUGCUCGAGUGGCGAACGGGUGAGUAACACGUGGGUGAUCUGCCUCUUACUUUGGGAUAAGCCUGGGAAACUGGGUCUAAUACUGGAUAGGACCAUGCUGUAGGUGGUGUGGUGGAAAGAUUAGUUUCGGUAAGGGAUGAGCUCGCGGCCUAUCAGCUUGUUGGUGGGGUAAUGGCCUACCAAGGCGUCGACGGGUAGCCGGCCUGAGAGGGUGGACGGCCACAUUGGGACUGAGAUACGGCCCAGACUCCUACGGGAGGCAGCAGUGGGGAAGAUUGCACAAUGGGCGCAAGCCUGAUGCAGCGACGCCGCGUGGGGGAUGACGGCCUUCGGGUUGUAAACUCCUUUCAGCCAUGACGAAGCCCUUGUGGUGACGGUAGUGGUAGAAGAAGCACCGGCUAACUACGUG